GCUUCCGGCUCAGGCUGGUGUAAUUCUCUCUACGGCCACAAGAUGGCAGCAAGAGCCAGCUGCAAAGAGCAGGAGGGCAGCAGUAGAUUGAAGAUCAGAGGAAAAGAAAGCAAAGGAGGGAGAGGCAGGGAAGAGGAGGACCGAGAAAGGAAGAGGCGUGAGCAAUGGCCUUGCGCAUCGGGCACGAAGGAUCCAGGGCCCUUCCUGAAGCUUCUAUUCAGCCUGGUUGGUGAACCCACCAUCUGGAGGUGCAGCUGCUGUUUCAGGGGCCAUGAGUACUAAGACCAACGACUAAAGAGAGUGAAGUCCAAGCCUACAGCCAGAAAGAGCCACAUCCCCAACCCCAGGGGACACUGAGACCAGGGAUGCAGCUCAGCACCCUCACAGUGCCCACCCCACACCCAAUAAAGGACAACCAGCCCUCCGUGUCAAUAGUGCCACCGAGGGGGGACACAGCUGCUCCCGGAGAAAGCACCACA